rnacentral:sRNA from 1 species
CUCCCAGGCUCAAGUGAUCUCUCAUGUCUGCCUCCCAAGUAGCUGGGACCACAGGCGUGCGCCACCACAUCCAGCUAAUUUUUUGAUUUUUUUGUUUGUAAAGACAAAGAAAGUGUUGUCCAGGCUGGUCUCGAACUCCUGGGCUCAAGCAAUCCUCUUGCCCUGGCCUGCCGAGUAGCUGGAACUAUAGGCGUGUGCCCCACACCCGGCAGGCAUGGGGUUUUCAGGCAGCAGAGGGUGGCAGGAUCGGCUGCUCCGAUCCAAGAGGCUCCCGGCUCUCCCCCAGCUGGGGUCUUAGGGGGCUGUAGUGCAUGUCCACUCUACAAAUGGCAGGGGGGGUGGGGGUGGCUGUGCCUACACUGAGCUCCUUUGCAGCCUCUCCUUUCUCCCUCUCCAGGGAAGAGGACCCAGACGAUGUGCCCCAUGGACAUAUCACCUCAUUGGCUGUGAAGCGUUCCCACCGGCGCCUCGGUCUGGCUCAGAAACUGAUGGACCAGGCCUCUCGAGCCAUGAUAGAGAACUUCAAUGCCAAAUACGUCUCCCUGCAUGUCAGGAAGAGGUGGAAGCCGGGCUGAGGGAAGGGGGAUUGAGGGGGAGAGAUACUGCCUUGACGGGGGUCCUGGGGUACCUCGGCUUUUGGUGAAGAUCCAGGAAGUGGGACUGGGGGGAAGGAGGGACCAGGAGGAGGGGCGUGCAGCUCAGCAGUGCCUUGUUCCCCUGCAGUAACCGGGCCGCCCUGCACCUCUAUUCCAACACCCUCAACUUUCAGUAA